AUGGCAAUGCCGACAUGUCGUCCCGGCGCAAGUCCUUUUCUCUGUAUCUUGACCCCGGACCUUUUUUUAUGUAUCUUCAAAUUGGCUCUCUCCCCUCUCUUUUUUGGAUUUCACGCUUCAACUGUUCGUGACCUUCCUCCCAAGUCUGCUUCCGCAUUUUUGGUUGGUGAAGCAUGCCAUCGUUCUUCAUUUCAAUUCAAAUCAGACAUGGGUCGGUUUCGCGCGCGAGCACGGCAGCCCCUGAGCAACAUUUCAAUGCUCGCACUUCCUAGGAACCAGGAGCCCCACAACCACUUCCCUUUCUUCAGCUCGCUGCCGAGCGUCUCCAGCCAAGACGAGACGUCGGUAAGCCCUCCCCUUCUUCCUCCAUCUCUCUUCUCUCUCCCGUUCUUUUCUCUAAGAGCUCUCUCUGUCUUUUAUUUUUCUGCAGAGAGAUGGCCAUGGCCGCCCGAUGCCGGAGCACCGCCGGCCAAGGACCUGCCGCCAUCCAGACCCCCUCCACGCCAUCUCCAUCUCACCGAAGACCUGCACCAAGUCCCAUCCAGCGCCUUCGCCACCCUUCGGCCCCCACCCCGUAGGUCUGCAGCCUGA
rnacentral:rRNA from 1 species